GAUGAAGAACGUAGCGAAAUGUGAUACGUAGUGUGAAUUGCAGAAUUCAGUGAAUCAUCGAAUCUUUGAACGCACAUUGCGCCCGCCAGUAUUCUGGCGGGCAUGCCUGUCCGAGCGUCAUUUCAACCAUCAAGCCCCCGGGCUUGUGUUGGGGACCUGCGGCUGCCCGCAGGCCCUGAAAACCAGUGGCGGGCUCGCUGUCACACCGAGCGUAGUAGCAAUCACCUCGCUCAGGGCGUGCUGCGGGUUCCGGCCGUUAAACAGCCUUACAAAACCCAAGGUUGACCUCGGAUCAGGUAGGAAGACCCGCUGAACUUAAGCAUAUCAAUAAGCGGAGGA
rnacentral:misc_RNA from 1 species